rnacentral:rRNA from 1 species
AUUGAACGCUGGCGGCAGGCUUAACACAUGCAAGUCGAGCGGGGUGAUGGUGCUUGCACUAUCACUUAGCGGCGGACGGGUGAGUAAUGCUUAGGAAUCUGCCUAUUAGUGGGGGACAACAUCUCGAAAGGGAUGCUAAUACCGCAUACGUCCUACGGGAGAAAGCAGGGGAUCACUUGUGACCUUGCGCUAAUAGAUGAGCCUAAGUCGGAUUAGCUAGUUGGUGGGGUAAAGGCCUACCAAGGCGACGAUCUGUAGCGGGUCUGAGCGGAUGAUCCGACAAACUUGGACUGAGACACGGCCCAGACUCCUACGGGAGGCAGCAGUAGGGAAUAUUGGACAAUGGGGGGAACCCUGAUCCAGCCAUGCCGCGUGUGUGAAGAAGGCCUUAUGGUUGUAAAGCACUUUAAGCGAGGAGGAGGCUCUUUUGGUUAAUACCCAAGAUGAGUGGACGUUACUCGCAGAAUAAGCACCGGCUAACUCUGUGCCAGCCGCCGCCGUAA